rnacentral:rRNA from 1 species
CCCUUAGAUGUCCUGGGCCGCACGCGUGCUACACUGAUGCAUACAGCGAGUACUCCCAGCUCCGAGAGGCUGCUGGUAAUCAGCAAUAUGCAUCGUGAUGGGGAUAGAUCUUUGGAAUUAUAGAUCUUGAACGAGGAAUUCCUAGUAAUCGCAGGUCAUCAUCCUGCGUUGACUAAGUCCCUGCCCUUUGUACACACCGCCCGUCGCUCCUACCGAUUUCGAGUGAUCCGGUGAAUCAUUCGGACCGCGGCCCCUAGGCAUGCGGAAAGUCUAGUAAACCAUAUCACUUAGAGGAAGGAGAAGUCGUAACA